rnacentral:rRNA from 1 species
UAGGGAAUCUUCCGCAAUGGACGAAAGUCUGACGGAGCAACGCCGCGUGAGUGAAGAAGGAUUUCGGUUCGUAAAACUCUGUUGUUAGGGAAGAAAAAAUGUAUAGUAACUAUAUACAAAAGAGACGGUACCUAACCAGAAAGCCACGGCUAAUUACGUGCCAGCAGCCGCGGUAAUACGUAGGUGGCAAGCGUUGUCCGGAAUUAUUGGGCGUAAAGCGCGCGCAGGUGGUUUAGAAAGUCUGAUGUGAAAGCCCACGGCUCAACCGUGGAGGGUCAUUGGAAACUAAUAAACUGGAGUGCGGGAGAGAAAAGUGGAAUUCCUAGUGUAGCGGUGAAAUGCGUAGAGAUUAAGAGGAACACCGGUGGCGAAAGCGGCUUUUUGGCCUGCAACUGACACUGAGGCGCGAAAGCGUGGGGAGCAAACAGG